GUGAAUCAUCGAAUCUUUGAACGCACAUUGCGCCCCUUGGUAUUCCAUGGGGCAUGCCUGUUCGAGCGUCAUCUACACCCUCAAGCUCUGCUUGGUGUUGGGCGUCUGUCCCGCCUUCGUGCGCGGACUCGCCCCAAAUUCAUUGGCAGCGGUCCUUGCCUCCUCUCGCGCAGCACAUUGCGCUUCUCGAGGUGCGCGGCCCGCGUCCACGAAGCAACAUUACCGUCUUUGACCUCGGAUCAGGUAGGGAUACCCGCUGAACUUAAGCAUAUCAAUAAGCGGAGGA
rnacentral:misc_RNA from 1 species